CUGGUUGCAACAGACCAAUGACUUGAAGUCCCAGCAAACUAGGUUUCAACUGGAUCUCAGGAAAACUCCUUGUUAGAGCAGGGAGGCAGUGGAAUAGAAGCCCAGGGGAGUUGUGGGCUGCUCCAGCACAGAGGUUCAAUGGGCAGCCACUGGUUGAGGACGAUGGAGGUGUAGUGAUGCCUGUGUUCUACUCUGGGGAUUUCUCAGGCUUUGCUGGUUGUCCCCUCCCCUCCCCUCACUUUCUGCUCCAUGUGUCAGGGGGUUUAAGCCUCCCUCAGAGGCAUGGGGUGUUGGCAGCAGCCCAAGCUGGGGUGGUGACGGGUAUGCCAAUGCUCCAGCUGGAACUCAACCCCAGAGGGUCCUGGCUAGAGGGUCUUUCACCUCCACCCAGACUGAUGCCGGAUUUGGGAUCAAGUAGGAAAUUUACCCUGUGGUCAGAUUAAUAUGGACUGGGGCGGGUAUGCCAACACAGCCUUUGCCUGGGAUCUCUUGAACAUGCAUUACCAGCCUUUGUCAGAAGCAGGAUGUUGGCCACUGUGGUCCCCCUGCUUUCCCUGUGGCAGGGUCAGGUGUGAUGUCUGGUGCUAUCAGGGCUGACAGUAGUAUAACAAAGAGUUUAGAUGAUGGAUUUGUCUGGGAUGGUUUGGAUAGGACUGAUCCUGCCUCAGGCAGGGGGUUGGACUAGCCUCAUUUCUCUAGUAGUUCUAUGAACUCCCAGGGUGCAAAUCUUACUACCAUAUUUCCUUAUAUACCACACGUCUUUCUGCCAAAAUCCACCUCCAAAACUAAGGGGUGCAUCUCAUUUUAGCAGGGUGCGUGGUAUGCAAAAACGUAUGGUCUCCAUCAAAGGCUGUCCUAGCAGUAAUUUGGCCCUCAGAAGUGGGAAUUGGGGAGUGAAACUGACUAGCAAGGUUGAAACUGGCCAACCCAACAGCACCCAAAGGGGAAAUGAGGUUAGUGUUUCUCAUUCCCCCCUCAGACUGUUGAAACAAAGGAUUUAAAACAAGCUGUUUUUGCCUCCACUCUCAUGGGAGGACUCUGUUGAGGGGGUCAGAGCUAGGACUACUGGGUUCUUUUUUUCUGGCACCCCAGGGUAAGUUGUGGCUUUUUCAAUGCCUCCUUCUAUGUGGUGCAGCCAGUCCCAGGAAUACAAAGAAGCCAGUAUCAAGAAUUUACAAUGGACAAACCUUUAAGGUGCUUAAGUACCAUAUUUGCCUGCAUAUAAUACACACCUUUAAAACAAAAUCCAGUCUGCCAAAAUUGGGCAGGGACGGGAGGCAGUGUUUGUUUUUUUGCAUUGGAAUACUGGCAUGGGGAUGCUGUAAUGGCUGCCAGGGGCUGUGAUUUGCUCCCAGCUGGAGGAGGCAGAGCCUGCACCUCGGCAUCACACCCCCUGCCCUUGCUUGCAAUGAGAGGUUUAACUCUCUCACACCUGCUGCCAAAUUGGCAACAGCUUUUGGCUAAGCUGGGUGGGAAGAGGAGAAUGGAGUCUCCUGCAUAGUCAACAUUCAGCCAUGGGGAAGCCUGCACUACAGCAGGGAAGAUUCGGGGGCUUUUCUUCCCUUUGUUUUCCCUUUUCUGAAAUGAGUCUUAUUUAGGGGCAUGUGGUAUGCAACGAAGUACAGUAAUUCCCACUGUGUCAGGUUGGAAAUGGGUGGGUUACCAGGAUACAGGCCUAAGCAUCAGGACUCCUGGGUUCUUUUUCCAGCUAUCAGGAAGUUGCCAGCCCCUCGCUCCCCUCCUUUGCCGAUGGGGGACCAAAUAUUGCUAACAAGCGUGGACAGUGGGUUCCACUUGUGUCCUGUACUGUGGCUUCUGGGAUAGAUGGAGGCCUCGGAGCAGCCCCAAUGGCUGUGGGAGCUUCUGGGCAUGGAUCAAAACCCCUUUUGCUGCUAUGGGCUGGAGCUUGCAGCCUGGAUCCGGACCCCUUGGAACCUCUGCUCCAAGAACACACCCUCACUCCAGCAGCAAAGUGGGGAGCUGCUGAUUUCCUCCCCGUAAGUGACACUGGACGCGGCUGGAUCUGGCCUGUUCCCAAUCUCUGCCCCACCCCAGGGAAGCAGGGACACGCUGUGCAGGGGCGGGGGGUUUGCCUGAGAGACUCUGCCCCAGGCUUUGGAGGAAGGAAAGACCUGCCUAAGUCCUGAUCCCUCCUCCUGACCCCAUGACCCCCCUCCUAGAAGCAGCAACAUCCAUAUCAAUUCUGGCAUCAGUUUCCAGCUCUGAGCUGGGCCCCAGAAUGACCCUGAUGGGGGAUCAGUUGCCACGAGUGCCUUAAGCCCUUGGGCCCUGGCAGCCUGGGUGGCCUUGGGGGUGGCUUAGCUGGGAGGUGUUACGUGGGGCUGGGGUGGGGUGGGGAGCCACGUGUACCCUGGGCCAUGGGGUCCCCCCCCAGCUGAGAUCAGGGGUCUAGAGGGCAGUACUAUGGACCAGGGGCUGGGCUGGGAAUGGGGGGUCUGGCCCCUCCCUGCUUUGGGGAUCAGGCAGGGGUGGGGGCCCCCAGAUCAGGUGGACCCAGACUGGGGGGGCUUCACCUGCCUCUGAAACGGGUGGGGUCUGCCGGGGAGCUCUGGGGUGGGGAUUUGAAUCAUGCCCUCCUAGCCUGGCAAGGGCAGGUCAGGGGUGGGGGCUGGAUGUGCCAGAUACUGGGGCUGGCAGCCCAGACAUCUGGGUUCUUUCCCAGCUCUGGUAGGGGAAUGAGGGCUAGUGGGUUUAUAGUGGGGAAGAGAGAGGAAUAAGGACUCCUGGGCUUUUGCCCUGUUCUGGGAAGGGAGUGGGGCUGGCGGGUGAGAGCAAGUGGCUGGAAGCCUGGACUCCCAGGUUCUUUCUAGGCCUGUCUGGGAGGGGAGAAGGGGCUGGCAGGGGAGAUCUCUGAGCCAGGACUCUUGGGUUCUCUCCCUGCUCUGCCACUGUGGGUCAGGCUGACCCAGGCCAUGGCCAUGUGUGGGUCCUGCCCAGACCAGAACCAGAAUCCCUAAUCCACCCAUCACCAUGGUACCAGGGGGUUCUCCUCCUGGCUGGACCCCCUCCUCCCAGGGGAGGGGAGAUUGGAGCCCCCAGUGUUCUUAGCAGUCUCCUCCCACAGGCACUGCCUGUCCUUGUUGCACCCAGCUCUGGGGUAGGGCACAUAGGUGUCUACUCAUCUGUCUGCCCCCACCCUGGAUUCCUGGCUCCCUCAGCACCAGCCACCCCCGAGUCUGAGCCCCCCCAGCCUGUAACCUGACUCCCCAGUGACCCUGGCACCAAGUGCAUAAAAACUCCCCGCCACCUCUCUGUGGACCCAGGCAUCCGGGCAGAAGUUCUGACACCUGCUCCCAGAGGCAGGUACAUGCCUUGAUCUAUCCCAGCUCAGGGAAGGGAGUGGGGUGUAGUGGUUGGAAGGGGGUGGGGGAGCUUGAGGAAGGGAGUGAGGUUUAGUGCUUAGAGUUGGGGGUGGGGAGGGCUUGUCUAGGAGCCCGGAUGCCUGGGUUCUAUCCCCAGCUGGGGCUCAGUGGACUCUCUUGGGGCAGGUGGUAGUUGGGGAGCACUGAAGGGGAAACAGCACUGUCCUGGAACCCUCACCCCCACCUUUUCUGGAUUCACUCUAGUUUCUCACCCCUCCCAGGCCCAACAGUCCCCAACCCUGCUCUGGGCCAUGGGGGUUGCCUGGGGCUGGAGCCUCUGCCUGCUGCUGCUACUUGGGGGCUGCCCAGCAGGUGGGUGAAAGGGGUGGGGGUAGGUGGUCUGUUUCCCCCCCUGGAAGUUGGGAGAGAACCCAGGUGUCUGGGCUCCUGGCACUCCACUGUCAAACCCCUCAGCCCCCCCAUUCCCUUCCCAGCGCUGGGGAGAGGACCCAGUCGUCCGGGCUCCCAGCUCCCCCUGCUCUAACCCCCUACCCCACACUCUUGUCCUACAGCAGGGAGAGAACCCAGGCAUCCAGCUUCAGCUGCCCCUAGUCUCCCUCUCUCCCAUGGUGGGGAGGGCACAUUGGGAAACCCCUACCACCAUCUUAGUGCCCCCUCCAAUUCUGCCUUCUUCUUGCAGGGCUCCCUGAAGCUACCAGCCCCCCUCUCUCCCCCAGAAGCUGGGAGGGUAGUGGGGCCCCCCUGGGGCAGGAGCACCCCUCAGGGGGGGCAGGCAGGAGGCUACAGGGGGCACUGUUGGUGACUUGUCUCGGCCACACACUGGCAGCUCGGGUCAGCCGAAAGGAGCUUGGGGCUGCUGGCCUGGCUCCCUCCCAUGUGACCUUGCAGGACCCCAGCUGCGUUGCCCGCGCCACCCUUGCCCAUUUCCUGUUGGAGGUGCCACUAGUGGCUUGUGGGGCCCAGUGGGUCCCUGCCCCAGGCGGGGGGCACUACGAGAAUGUGGUGGUACUGUGGGGCCGAGGGAUGGGGACAACACCUGGACACCUGCUGGAGGACGAGCCUGAGGUCUUGGAAACCAUCAAGGUCUCCUGCCCCUCUGUGGCCCCACACCUAUCACCCCAGGCCCCGCUCCCACACCUGGGCCAGGCGCUACUGAGCCUGGAGGUGUCAAGCUCUCCCAGGUUUCCAGCACCCUCUGGGCCCUGCACUGUGCCUGCCAACGCCCGCGUCUAUGUCCAGGUAGGGGUGCCAGAUUCCUGGCCUCUCCUACAUCCAGCAGGGAGUUGAGGCGGGGCAGGGCUUGGAGCCCAGAUGCCUGGGUUCUAUCCAACUCUGGGAGGACAGUGGGAUAUAGGGGGAAUUAGAGAAGUGAGUUUGGGUGCCAGGACACCUGCAUUCUCUCCUAGCCCUGGGAGUGGAGUGGACUAGAGCUGGGGGGUGGGGAACUGGGAUCCUGGACGCCUGGGUUCUAUCCAGGCCUGGGAUCUGAGAAGCUGGGGCUGAGAGCUGGGGUGCCUGGGCUCUCCCAGACUUGGGAGUGGGGGUGUAAUGGGGUGAGGAAGGGUGCCCGGACACCUGUGUUCUCUGGGAGAGGAAUGGCGGGGGGGGGUCUGAUGGGCUGGGGUGGGGAGCCGGGA